rnacentral:rRNA from 1 species
GUUAGGAAUAUUGGACAAUGGGCGAAAGCCUGAUCCAGCCAUGCCGCGUGAACGAUGAAGGCCUUCGGGUUGUAAAGUUCUUUAGCCGAUGAUUAUAAUGACUGUAGUCGGAAAAUAAGCCCCGGCUAACUUCGUGCCAGCAGCCGCGGUAAUACGAAGGGGGCGAGCGUUAUUCGGAAUCACUGGGCGUAAAGCGUGCGUAGGCGGUUUUGUAAGUUAGGAGUGAAAGCCCAGGGCUCAACCUUGGAAUUGCUCUUAAAACUGCAAGGCUCGAAUCUCGGAGAGGAUAGCGGAAUUUCCAGUGUAGCAGUGAAAUGCGUAGAUAUUGGAAGGAACACCAGUGGCGUAAGCGGCUAUCUGGACGAGUAUUGACGCUGAGGCACGAAAGCGUGGAGAUCAAACAGGAUUAGAUACCCGAGUAGUCC